UUAUACAAUAACCAACCCACUUUUCAAUAUCCAGAUCAGUCCAACCCCAUGAACAAUAUAUUACAGCAAGCAAACGACCCCACCUCUUUCUUUUUCAUUUUCACUCAACAAAAUCUAAUCUAGAAACGCGAUCCAUCGAUUCCAGCGACUCAAAUCGCGAACCAGCAGCCCAGCUACUGCAAAACGCAGCCCAGUAGUCCAUGUCACUCGCGCGUGUCUAUCUUCGUACAAGGAUCGUUGUUGGAUUUUCUAGGUGUUAUCAUCUUGGUGCCUCGCAUGUCCUUGUUCAAGAUCGGAAGACUCCCUUCAUAUUUCGGUUGGAAAUUGGUACUCGUUCUUAGAUGGAAACCUUAUCCUCCAUUUCGAAUAUGAAUUUGUUGAAAUUCCAUCCCGAAUUUCCUCCUAUUUUCUGCCCUAACUUAAUUAUAUAAAUACCUUUAUCUUUCUCUUUGUGAAGGGAAAAAAAGAGAGGGUGAGAGGGUUACGAAAAUUGGAAAAAAGUGAGAGAAAAUAGACGUUGCAGGUAGCUUAUACAAGAUGGAUAAGAGCCAACAUAGAGAGAAAAGUAGAGAAAAAUUAUUAGUCAUAUACAUUUAUAUAAGAAUACUUAGGAAACAGGUUUCAAAAUAGAUUGAAAAAUCCAGAUUUUACUCCCUCUUUUUACUGGUUCGCUUCUGUUUUCUUUAUCGAACUUCUCAUAGUUUUGUUUCGGUGGUGGAAGCUUGCUGUCUCUGCUCAUUCAGUCUAAGUUCAGCUGCCUGGAAAAAGUGAAGUCAUUUAGCUGAAUCAUGCUUAAUGCAGUGGUCUCUCUCUGGUUAUUUUAAUGAAGUUGAAACAUUGUUCCUUCAUGUAUAUCUUCUAUGUAUAUAUGGUUAUAUCAUGUGUUAUGACUUCAUUUUACUUUUCUAUAGUAUGUAGCUUGAAGAACAGACUCAAGCAUGCUUAAAAUCAUUAAUUGUCGUAUUCUGUUAUAAGUUCUUUUUUUAUGUUAUGAGUGUAGUCUUCAAAUCAAAGUUUGUAAUGUGGGUUCUUCACUUUUCUUAUGUGUUCUACUUCCUAGAAUGAUGGUAAAUAAUGUUUUGCAUUUGAAACAAGUUGCUUAGUAGACUAAAGGGUUGACUUUGUUAAUGAUAAGUUUUAGUGUUACUUUCUUGUUUAUAUUGAGAUCCUUCAUUGCUCUUAAUACUAUUUAGUUAUGCUACAUGAUUGUUUAAACCACAUCUUUGCUAGACUUUGACGAAAUUGAUUUGUUAAUUUCAUUUUUGUGCAUGUGAUACCACUCGAGUCCUCAUGGACUCCAAUCUUCUUCCCUCAUAUCCCGGAUGGGCCAUAAAGGCCCUAAAUCCCCUUUUCCUUCGAGUCAGCCCCCUCAGCAAGCUGCAAAAUUGAUGUACAGGUUGAGGUCGAUAAAUGUAGGCUGGAAAUUAAUUUUACAGGUCUCUAAAAAGCCCAAAAGAGGGCAGUAUACAUGAAUUAUAAAAUUAUAUACCCAAGUAUACACAGAAAGAAUCAUUAUAUACAGGUCUGAGCUGACAAAACAGGUGAUGGAAGUCUGAAAUGGGCAGCAUACAUUCAGCAUACAUCCCAGUAUACACGAAAACGAGUCGAAAUACAUAUCGUAUACAUCCAUAUACGUUUGGUGUAUAAACAUAUUUUAAGUGUGGAAAAUAAGGAAUAUAGGGCCAGAAGCCCAAAGGAAAUUCCAGCAAGCCCAACAGGUCUAAGUAGGUCAAGAUCCAUUUUGGAUUACUUAAAUUUAGGAUAGGUUAUAAAGAUUUGGGCCUAAAGCCCAAAUUUAAUAAUCUCUUCCCUUUUUACUCUUAUUUGUAUUGUUUUAAGUAGGGAAAAUUGUAUAUAAUAGCAAACUAAUAACCUAAAAUAAAUGGAGUAGCUAGAGUUUGAUUUAA